CUUUAUUUCAACUAACUCCUACAGGAAGCAGCCAUCUGGCCUGCCCCUUUAGAACAUAUCUUUUAUAACAUCAUGACCUGGGACACAGCCUGGUGAUGGAGGAUUCCAAGACCUGGCUUUGUCAGACUCCUGAAGAUAAGCAGCAUGAGAGAGGCUGGCCUUAUGUGAAUCACUUCUAUACAAGACUAAAAUAUGGGAAGCAGACUGCCAAUUUAUCAAUUCACAAUGGAGUCAAGGAAGAUGAGGAGAAAUAUUCAUAACAUCAUUCAAGGUUGCAAACUCUCCAUUGUGACUUUGCUAGAAUCUUCCUGCAGAUCAGUGACAACCAGAUGAGCUGUUUCUGUUUAUGAACAUACAAUGACUUUCAAGUCAUUACUGUGACAUUGCAUCCGGUCUGUUUGGAUUGCGUCUUAGGUGUUUGUGAAUUCUCUCAUCAUACAAUUAUACAAUGUUUGUGUUACUCUCAGUAGGAUUGUCUUGAAGCUCUUUCCCUCUAAUUGUUUUGAGUAUUUUGCUAGUGUAACUGCAACCUAAUUUCUGUUAUUUUUAACAUCUUGGGGUAUGUUCUAAUUAUUUUCUUUGUAUGCCACCAAGUUAAUAAAUAAAGUGUUGAUGGAAAACGGUCUCAGAAUGGAUGAUAAAACUAUUUAACUUCUGAAAAGUGGAUAUAUCUUUAAGAAUUCCAAAUAGCAGCGGAAUCUCAAA